GGUGAUGCUGAUCCAGCCUACAGGUAACUUUUGAUUUUCCAUAAUUUUCUUUUAAAGCUGGGAUUAUAGCAUUAUAGCCUUUACUGAGCUUAAAGGUGAUGUUAUAGCAUUAAAGUUGGCCAUUUCCUGAGCUUCACAUUUGUAAAAUUGUAUUCAAGGUUUUGUAUCGGCAUCUUUGUGAGUCACCUUUUAGGUGAAAGGUCAUUCUCAAGUAAAACAUGCUGGUCUCAAUUGUGUUCCUUACAUCUCCCCACCCACCACCCCCAGCCCACUCUCUCCAUUCAUACACGCUAGCCUCAAUUGUGUUCUCCAUGUCCCUUGUGUAUUGCUUCAGACCUGCAGCGAUGGUAAUCUUGAUUGUCCAGUGGCUUUAUGUUUCUAGUUCAUCUUCAAGGAAAUCAGAGAAAUAAUAUGUUACUUUUCUUACUAGCUGAGGGUUUUAGUCAAAAUGAUACCUAGAUCCAUUUAACUCUAUUUGCUUGUUACUGAAGUACAUAACUGGUAGCAUCCCAACCCAUAUCAUUUAUAAACACAAUAUUACAAGACAAGUGCAUACAAAAAUGUGCAUGUGAAGCACUUCUUGUUACAAAUACAGUGGAACUACAUAUAGAGAAACACUGAGGCUUCACCAGAUGCCAUUUUCUCAAUGCGUGAAGGAGCUAUUAUGAUUACUUUGAAUGAUCCUCUGUCUGUGCUUCAACUGAUACUAUGACUAAUUAUUGUAAAUAUCUCGCUUUUCAAAAUGCAUGGCACGUUUUCCAGUUAGACUAUAUUGAGAAAUUCAUGUGCAUGGGAAAGAAACUCAUGUCUGGUGGUGGAUGUGUUGUACAUUUACAUGCAAUAAUUGUCCUUUUUUUUUCAUAACUUUUGGUAGUUGCAUAGAGCAGUCAUUUUUAGUUAGUUCUCAUAUGUUCAACAAAAAUUUCCUCAUUUAUUAUUUGUUUCUGAAUUUUAUCACAGGUGCAUACUUCUUAAUUACAUUCUUAUACAAUUCCUAUUUGAAAAAUUACGGUGUACUUUCAAAUGGUAUCUUUGGCUUUGCAUUAAAUUUCUUGUGCUAGUCACCUGAUUAUGGAUCCCUUUGGAUUUUGUUGUAAUUCUCUUCUUAGUACCUUUUGUGGAAUUAAUUAAUUUUGCCUUUUAUCUGGCUAAGUUCAAAUCUCCUGUGCACUGGGGAGAGUUUGGUAUGUGGA
rnacentral:misc_RNA from 1 species